AGAGCGAACGCUGGCGGCAGGCCUAACACAUGCAAGUCGAGCGCCCCGCAAGGGGAGCGGCAGACGGGAGAGUAACACGUGGGAACGUGCCCUUUGGUUCGGAACAACACAGGGAAACUUGUGCUAAUACCGGAUAAGCCCUUACGGGGAAAGAUUUAUCGCCAAAGGAUCGGCCCGCGUCUGAUUAGCUAGUUGGUGAGGUAACGGCUCACCAAGGCUACGAUCAGUAGCUGGUUUGAGAGGAUGAUCAGCCUCACUGGGACUGAGACACGGCCCAGACUCCUACGGGAGGCAGCAGUGGGGAAUAUUGGACAAUGGGCGCAAGCCUGAUCCAGCCAUGCCGCGUGGGUGAUGAAGGCCCUAGGGUUGUAAAGCCUUUCGGCGGGAAGAUAAUGACGGUACCCGCAGAAGAAGCCCCGGCUAACUUCGUGCCAGCAGCCGC
rnacentral:rRNA from 1 species